UACAGUACACUCCAUAUGACUUGUGCAUUAUGAUUUGACAUCAGUGAGGAUGAAUGGCAUUCAUUUUUAGAUUCCCAAGAAUGAUAAACUGUCGGGCAAUAAAAGCUGUCUUCUGCUUCACGAGAUCCUGCCCCUGUCUGUCCUGCACACCUUCUGGGGAGAGAACACAACUGUCUGGUUAUAACCUGACACGACUCAAUCCACACCGGGGGUCAGAGGUCAUCUAUCAGGAGACACGCAAGAUCAUCGGGGCGCUGCAUCAGUAUGCUUGUGGCGCAGCUGACACAGAAUGU